rnacentral:rRNA from 1 species
CGGCAUGCCUUACACAUGCAAGUCGAACGGCAGCACGGGGCAACCUGGUGGCGAGUGGCGAACGGGUGAGUAAUGCAUCGGAACGUGCCAUUGAGUGGGGGAUAACGUAGCGAAAGUUGCGCUAAUACCGCAUAUUCUGUGAGCAGGAAAGCAGGGGACCGCAAGGCCUUGCGCUCUUUGAGCGGCCGAUGUCAGAUUAGCUAGUUGGUGAGGUAACGGCUUACCAAGGCGACGAUCUGUAGCGGGUCUGAGAGGAUGAUCCGCCACACUGGAACUGAGACACGGUCCAGACUCCUACGGGAGGCAGCAGUGGGGAAUUUUGGACAAUGGGCGCAAGCCUGAUCCAGCCAUGCCGCGUGAGUGAAGAAGGCCUUCGGGUUGUAAAGCUCUUUCGGCCGGGAAGAAAUCGCAUGGGUUAAUACCCUGUGUGGAUGACGGUACCGGAAUAAGAAGCACCGGCUAACUACGUG